UUGCUUUCUUUGCUGGCGACCGGCGCACGGGUGAGUAACACGUAUCCAACCUGCCCUUUACUCGGGGAUAGCCUUUCGAAAGAAAGAUUAAUACCCGAUAGCAUAAUGAUUCCGCAUGGUUUCAUUAUUAAAGGAUUCCGGUAAAGGAUGGGGAUGCGUUCCAUUAGGUUGUUGGUGGGGUAACGGCCCACCAAGCCUUCGAUGGAUAGGGGUUCUGAGAGGAAGGUCCCCCACAUUGGAACUGAGACACGGUCCAA
rnacentral:rRNA from 1 species